rnacentral:lncRNA from 1 species
GGAAGCUCUGCGGGAAUUGGCGAGAAUCACCGUGCCCGGGGAGCCCGCCGGCCAAUGCCGCGAGAAACCGUUAGCCUCGCCCCGCCCGCUCCUUCUAAGUGACUCCUGGGAUUGACGGCGGUGAGCUGAGACAUCUGCCAGACUGGUGGCCUCUCCAUUUCUUCAGCUGACUGGACCAGAAGUAAAGGGCAACAUGAGAAAACACAUUCUUUAAACAACAUUUCCCACCCUAUCUCAGUUCAGAGGGCAUUUGCUUCACAGAGGGUAAAC